AAUGUCUCCUUUUCCAAUGAUUUCCCUAAUCACAUGGUCAUGCUGCAAUACAUGUUGGACUUUUGAUGAGACCUUGGUUCCUUUGCUUGUGCAAUGGCUCCAUUGUUAUCACAACGUAUUGGAUCAACAAUGGUAGGAACCAUAUCUAGUUUAGUAAUGAACUUCUUAAUCCAAAUUGUCACUUUCACUACCUCAAACGCAAAGAUGUAUUUGACCUUGGUUGUAGAAUUUGCAAUCAUCUCUUGUUUGGAACUCUUCC
rnacentral:lncRNA from 1 species